GAUAAUUUUCGAAUAUGUUGGAGAGCUUGGAUCCACAUCCACUGUGGCCAGAAAGUCAGGCUUCUCCCUUCCUGUUCCUGAAUUGAAUUGAAUCUUUAACACCAAUAUAUAAAGAAAAUCACUAAACUACAUGUUUUCACUGAAAUUUUUUAAACUGCAUCAAGCCUUCAUGCACAGCACUAGAAAGAGAUAGACAUAUUGAGACACAAGAAGAUUUUGGUACCUGAGUAGAUAGCAGUGACAUACAGGAGAGUUUCUCUAGGACCAGACAUGGCUGCCAGUGGUGAAGCAUAGCCAGGCCCUGAUUUGGGACAACCUUGCAUGUUGUUUUGGUUCAUCACCUUGUCUCCCUUCUCACAAUACUCCAUCUCUCUCUAUUAAAAAAGAUCACUUCACAGAUGUUUCCUUGAAAAGAAGAUAAUAGUGAUGAUGAAGAAGAAAAAUGAACUCAAGGAAGAGCAAGUCAAGUUAAAGGUUCUGUCAAUGACUGUUACUAGUCUCACAAAAAAGGAAAUUACAUCUUUGGCUUUAUCUCAAAGUCACAAUUCACACAGACAUUAUUCCAAAGCUUGAAAGAAACACAAGUUUGUUUCAAUUCAAAAAGCCAAAAUAAAAUUCUUCCUUCUGAACCUUUCAGGAAUAUUUUAAGGUUUUAUGUUUUCUAGUUCUUUAGAUAAAUAUCUUAUUAGA